rnacentral:rRNA from 1 species
GAACGCUAGCGACAGGCCUAACACAUGCAAGUCGAGGGCAGCACAAGGAGCAAUCUGAGGUGGCGACCGGCGCACGGGUGAGUAACACGUAUGCAACCUGCCUGUAAGCGGGGAAUAACCCGUUGAAAGACGGACUAAUACCGCAUAAUACUAAAUUACUGCAUGGUAAUUUAUUUAAACAUUUAUGGCUUACAGAUGGGCAUGCGCAUGAUUAGCUAGUUGGAGAGGUAACGGCUCCCCAAGGCAACGAUCAUUAGGGGUUCUGAGAGGAAGGUCCCCCACACUGGUACUGAGACACGGACCAGACUCCUACGGGAGGCAGCAGUGAGGAAUAUUGGUCAAUGGACGAGAGUCUGAACCAGCCAAGUCGCGUGCAGGAAGAAUGUUCCCUAUGGAUUGUAAACUGUCUUUUGCGAGGGGAAAUAAAGUGCAUCACGUGUGAUGUUUUGUAUGUACUCUGCGAAUAAGGAUCGGCUAACUCCGUGCCAGCCGCCGC